GACAGAGGUGCCAAGCGUUAGGCGGAAUCACUGGGCGUAAAGGGCGCGUAGGCGGCCACGACAAGUCACUUGUGAAAUCUCCGGGCUUAACCCGGAACGGUCAAGUGAUACUGUCGGGCUAGAGUGCAGAAGGGGCAACUGGAAUUCUCGGUGUAGCGGUGAAAUGCGUAGAUAUCGAGAGGAACACCUGCGGCGAAGGCGGGUUGCUGGGCUGACACUGACGCUGAGGCGCGAAAGCCAGGGGAGCGAACGGG
rnacentral:rRNA from 1 species